rnacentral:rRNA from 1 species
UACGUAGGGGGCUAGCGUUGUCCGGAUUUAUUGGGCGUAAAGAGCUCGUAGGUGGUUUGUCGCGUUGUUCGUGAAAACCUGAGGCUUAACCUUGGGCGUGCGGGCGAUACGGGCAGACUGGAGUACUGCAGGGGAGACUGGAAUUCCUGGUGUAGCGGUGGAAUGCGCAGAUAUCAGGAGGAACACCGGUGGCGAAGGCGGGUCUCUGGGCAGUAACUGACGCUGAGGAGCGAAAGCGUGGGGAGCGAACAGG